rnacentral:SRP_RNA from 1 species
UAAGUUCGGCAUCAAUAAGGUGACCUCCCGGGAGCAGGGGGACACCAAGUUGCCUAAGGAGGGGUGAACCGGCCCAGGUCAGAAAUGGAGCAGGUCAAAACUCCCGUGCUGAUCUGUA